rnacentral:rRNA from 1 species
ACUACGGGCGGCAGCAGUGAGGAAUAUUGGUCAAUGGGUGGAAGCCUGAACCAGCCAAGUAGCGUGCAGGAUGACGGCCCUACGGGUUGUAAACUGCUUUUAUACGGGAAUAACGCGCCUUACGUGUAGGGCUUUGCAUGUACCGUAUGAAUAAGGACCGGCUAAUUCCGUGCCAGCAGCCGCGGUAAUACGGAAGGUCCGGGCGUUAUCCGGAUUUAUUGGGUUUAAAGGGAGCGUAGGCCGCAUGUCAAGCGUGCUGUGAAAUGUCCGGGCUCAACCCGGGCCUUGCAGCGCGAACUGGCGUGCUUGAGUCCGCGGAAGGCAGGCGGAAUUCGUGGUGUAGCGGUGAAAUGCUUAGAUAUGACGAAGAACCCCGAUUGCGAAGGCAGCUUGCUGCAGCGGAACUGACGCUGAUGCUCGAAAGCGCGGGUAUCGAACAGGAUUAGAUACCCGAGUAGUC